AGAUCAAAAAUGUUUGCGUUGAACUAAUCCCAGAAGGCAUCUUGGCCAAGAAAGGCACCUUGGUCUCUAUUUUCUCAGAAUAAUAAGGAAAUGUGGGUGUUCACGCCUCCUGAUUCUAAAACAUCGGAAAACUGUGGGCGUUCCCAUAAUGGGAUGAGAUGCUACUUGGACAGGGUGCCAUUUGAAGAAACCAAGGCAAACUGCCGCAGUGCAAAUUGUAGACAGUGGAAACUCCAGCUAGUUAACACUGAAGGAGGGAAUGAUUGCCCAGGCUUGAAGGUGGAGUGAGAAUCGUGAGGCAGUUUCUCCUGGAUAAUGUCAUGGAGUCACAAAAUGUGGAAAUUGUCUAUUCAGGCCACAGCCCACACCAACCACCAGGCAGUUACGAAAUGGCUCAUGCAUGGAAAAUGAGAUGCUGCUCGGCCCUCUGGGUUCUUCCAGCAGAUUGUUGCUCCAGAUUCCAGCAUCUACAGUCUCUUGCAUCUUCAUUCUCUUGCCAAUUUCCCUAAAGAUGUCAUGGAACUGGCGUUGCCUGAAAAUGGACCAGUAAGGUUGAAGGAGGGCAGACGCGAACUGAUCAUGGACCUUUCCUGUG